rnacentral:rRNA from 1 species
ACGCUCGACACCUACGGGAGCAGCAGUCGGGAAUAUUGCGCAAUGGAGGAAACUCUGACGCAGUGACGCCGCGUGCAGGAAGAAGGUUUUCGGAUUGUAAACUGCUUUAGACAGGGAAGAAAAAGGACAGUACCUGUAGAAUAAGCUCCGGCUAACUACGUGUCCAGCAGCCGCGGUAAUCUGAGGCGGGCUGGCAAGGC